rnacentral:rRNA from 1 species
CCUACGGGGGGCAGCAGUAGGGAAUCUUCCACAAUGGGCGAAAGCCUGAUGGAGCAACGCCGCGUGGGUGAAGAAGGUCUUCGGAUCGUAAAACCCUGUUGUUAGAGAAGUAAGUGCGUGAGAGUAACUGUUCACGUUUCGACGGUAUCUAACCAGAAAGCCACGGCUAACUACGUGCCAGCAGCCGCGGUAAUACGUAGGUGGCAAGCGUUAUCCGGAUUUAUUGGGCGUAAAGGGAACGCAGGCGGUCUUUUAAGUCUGAUGUGAAAGCCUUCGGCUUAACCGGAGUAGUGCAUUGGAGACUGGGAGACGUGAGUGCAGAAGAGGAGAGUGGAACUCGAUGUGUAGCGGUGAAAUGCGUAGAUAUAUGGAAGAACACCAGUGGCGAAAGCGGCUCUCUGGUCUGUAACUGACGCUGAGGUUCGAAAGCGUGGGUAGCAAACAGGAUUAGAUACCCGGGUAGUC